rnacentral:lncRNA from 1 species
CCGCUAAUCACCUGGCACCGAGCUCGAAGCGGCGCCGAGUCGUUCGCACGCGGAGAGGGAGGGUAGUUAGAGGGCCAUCCUUUUCUGCCGUUAUGGAUUUAAACCCAUAAAGAGGAAACGAGAAACCAGAGGCUCAAAGCUAAGGAAGCUCGCACCUACCGGCUUAACUUCGCACGCCUCUCCAGGAGCCGGGAACCAUCGCCCUUGGGCGCUCCCCGAUGCACGCCGGGAUACGCCUGGCGCCCCUCGGCUCAUGCCUGCUUUGGUCAGUAGAAUACAGCUGAAGUGAUGUUGUACCAGUUUUGCGUCUGGUCUUUACAAGCACUGGUAGCUUCAACUUUCUCCUUCUUGGUACUCACCCACCAUGUUGUAAGGAAACCCAAACAGCCACGUGGAAGACAGUUCUAGUUGAGCUCCCAGCCCAGAGCCUAUCCCAACUCUCCAGCCAUACCCUGACUUCCUUCAGCAAAGAGACAGCUUCUGAUUCAUGUUCGUCUCACCAUAAUCCAUUUCCCUCUCUGCAGAUACUUCCAAAAGUUACACUAGAUGUUAACUGAGCACUAAGGACACUACGUGAAAGACUGGAGUACAAACAUCCAAAGGACUGAAGAAUUUGAAGAGCACUGAAUGUGGGAGAUAGGACAGAGGAAAGGAGUCAAAUGUCUCCAAGAAACGAAGCCUGUGUGCCCUGGAGAAUGAAGAAGCAUCAUCAAAUCGGGGAGACUGAAGGAGGAAUCGGUUUUCAGAGAAAAACAAUUUAUAUUGUCUUAGCUGUGUUAGGUGGCAUACUAUUACAUUCAAGUGAAGCUGUGUAAUAGACAGAGAUGACAAAUUUUAUUCAUUUAUGAAUGCCCCCCAAAAUAUAUAUAUAGUUUUUGCCCUCAUGUCUCUUAUUGGGAUGACAGACAUAAAUCAAAGAAUUCCAUAAAUAAAUAUUAAAAUACAAUUUGUGAUAAAUGCUACAAA